rnacentral:rRNA from 1 species
UACGAAGGGGGCUAGCGUUGCUCGGAAUUACUGGGCGUAAAGGGUGCGUAGGCGGGUUUUUAAGUCAGGGGCGAAAUCCUGGAGCUCAACUCCAGAACUGCCUUUGAUACUGAAGAUCUUGAGUUCGGGAGAGGUGAGUGGAACUGCGAGUGUAGAGGUGAAAUUCAUAGAUAUUCGCAAGAACACCAGUGGCGAAGGCGGCUCACUGGCCCGAUACUGACGCUGAGGUGCGAAAGCGUGGGGAGCAAACAGG